rnacentral:rRNA from 1 species
CCAAUAGCGUAUAUUAAAGUUGCUGCAGUUAAAAAGCUCGUAGUUGAAUUUCGGGACCAAUAUGUCGGUCGUGCCAUUGGUACGUACUGGCAUUAUUGGUUUCUACCUUCUGAAGAACCUUGAUGUCAUUAAUUUGGUGUCUUGGGGAAUCAGGACUGUUACUUUGAAAAAAUUAGAGUGUUUAAAGCAGGCUCGCGCUUGAAUACAUUAGCAUGGAAUAAUGAAAUAGGACGUUUGAUUCUAUUUUGUUGGUUUCUAGGAUCGACGUAAUGAUUAAUAGGGAUAGUUUGGGGCAUUAGUAUUCAAUUGUCAGAGGUGAGAUUCUUGGAUUUAUUGAAGACUAACUACUGCGAAAGCAUUUGCCAAGGAUGUUUUCAUUAAUCAAGAACGAAGGUUAGGAGGUCGAAGACGAUCAGAUACCGUCGUAGUCUUAACCAUAAACUAUGCCGACUAGGGAUCGGAUGAUGUUAAUUUUUUAAUGACUCAUUCGGCGCCUUACG